rnacentral:lncRNA from 1 species
CGGGGAGAUAGCGUCAGUAGCUCAGCUCACGGGCCUAGACGCAGUCAAGCUCAUAGGCCUCAUAGUCAAAGCCGCGAACACCGCGUGGAUGCACAAGAAGAACUGCCGCCAGUUCGCUCAGCACCUCAAACUCAUCGGCAACUUGCUCGAGCAGCUCAAGAUCUCCGAGAUGAAGAAGUAUCCAGAGACUCGCGAGCCUCUCGAAGGCCUCGAGGAUGCUCUGAGGAGGUCUUACAUUUUGGUUAACAGUUGUCGUGACAGGAGCUAUCUUUACUUGUUGGCUAUGGGAUGGAACAUUGUUUACCAGUUCAGGAAAGCUCAGGACGAGAUUGAUCGUUUUCUCAAGAUCAUACCUCUCAUCACUUUGGUUGAUAACGCUCGUGUUAGGGUAAGUUUAGCUGAGUUUUUCAUUCUAAAGAGACAUACUUUCUUGUUUAGCCCUAGAAACUCGGUUCUUGAAUAGGUUUGGUCUCUAGAGGUUUAGCAUCCUUUCGGUAUUUAGAAAAUUUGUGGUUCGGUUAUUUCAGUUUUCGGUUUGGUUAUGGUAACAAAUUUAGGAAGUGGCUAAUAUCUAAGUUAAUUUAGGAUCUUAUUCGGUUUAGAUUUUCGGUUAAUUUAGGUUAAAAAGUCAGAAAAAUUGGAUUUUUCGGAUUAAAUAUCAGAUUUUUCGGGGUUUUUGAUUACUCCGAUAAUCUGAAAUAUUUUGGAUAAAAAAAUCUAUUUUGGUUUAUAAAUACUCCAUCCGUUUCUUUUUAAUUGGUAUUUUAGUAAGAAAACAUUUAAUUUUGCAUAUGUUAUACCUAACCAUAUUUCAACCAAUAGAAAAAUAAACUAGAGAAUAUUGUUAAUAAUUUUUGCAUUGAAAUUCUAAAACUACACUUGUUUUUGAAAUGAAAAAUUUUCUCUACAACUAUAAUUAAACUGAAAUGGAGAGAGUAAUAUUUUUCUGUUCGGUUUAUUUAGUUCUUCGGUUCCAGAUAAAUGUGUCCAUGCGUAAUGUUGUUAACGGGGGUUAAUGGAUUUUGUUUGUGCAGGAGAGGUUAGAGUACAUUGACCGUGAUCAGUUCGAGUACACUCUCGAUGAAGAGGAUAGACACGUGCAAGAUGUUAUUUUGAAACAAGAAUCCACCAGAGAAGCAGCUUCCGUGCUCAAGAAGACUCUCUCUUGCUCAUACCCUAACCUGCGUUUCUGCGAUGCUCUCAAAACUGAGAACGAGAAACUGCAGCUGGAGCUUCAGCGUUCGCAGGAGCAUUACGAUGUGGCUCAGUGUGAAGUCAUUCAGCGUUUGAUUGGUGUUACUCAAACUGUUGCUGAGGUUGACGGCGGCUCUGAGAAGGAGCUGUCCAAGAAAGCUUCCAAAAAGGCUGACCGUAGUGUAAGCCAUAAGACGGAAUAUUCGUAUGAGGAAGAUCCUCCCAUGAAAAGCACUAGUCGUGCAGCUUCAAGGUUACAUAACUUCAUGUGCUUUAUUAAAAUGCAAUUUGUGAUUAGUUUAUGUGACUAAUGUUUGAAUAACGCUGGCUAUAUAAUUGUUUCAUGCAGAUCCACUUCUUCUGUUACAUCAGGACAUGAUAUGCUUUCACGAAGAGCAUCACUACACCAUGAAGAAUGGCACACUGAUUUACUAGCUUGUUGCUCGGAACCUUCUCUUUGUGAGUUCUUCCCCUCUUCUUGCUUCCACUGUGAUUCCACUUUGUUUUCUCCGUUAUAUAAGAAAGGUGAUUAGCGUUUCACGUUCCAUACGUUCUUGUUAUUGUGAAUGAUGCAAUGAUGGAACUCGCAGGCUUGAAGACAUUUUUUUUCCCGUGUGGUACUUUGGCAAAGAUUGCCACUGCAGCAACUAACAGACACAUCUGUAAGUGGGAUAUAAUUAGUCAACUUUAUCAUGUUACAAUUUGUUAAUAAAUAAUACUUGUGAAAACUAAGAUGUUGACUUUGUUUUUGUUGGUCCUUCCAGCUUCAGCUGAAGCAUGUAAUGAGCUAAUGGCAUAUUCUUUGAUACUUUCUUGUUGCUGCUACACUUGUUGUGUAAGGAGGAAACUCCGGAAAACACUCAACAUUACGGUACACUCUCUUCAAAACCCCUGAACCCCUUAUCCAUCUCAAUAAUCUUUUGAUUCCAAACAUCUAUAUAUGGCUCCAAGAAAACAAUAGAUUAAAAAAAUAAAAAUUAAGUAGGCACCUCUAACACUCUAGUAAAUAUUAUAGGUGAGAUUGAAACACUUCAUCUCAAGAGCUUCAAAUCCGCAUUUGUCACAUACUUGAGGUUUUCUGAUUUGGCAGGGAGGGUUCAUUGACGAUUUUCUAUCUCAUUUGAUGUGUUGUUGCUGUGCUCUUGUCCAAGAACUGCGAGAAGUUGAGAUUCGUGGGGCUUAUGGUAUGAACUAUAUAGAUAGAUACAUCUUAACACAACGUUUGGUUUUAGCCUUAAAGCAUGAACAAAUAUCGUUUCUUAAUAUCCUCGCAGGUACGGAGAAGACGAAAAUAAGUCCACCUUCGUCGCAGUUCAUGGAACAUUGAAUUCUUAUACAAAAAGGUGAACUAAACAACGUUAUGACACGAGCUUCUUCGUGCUACUUUCUUACUGUCUUUUUGUCUUUGCAUGUAAAUGAGUUUGGGAUUCCCAUCGACUUUUCAGUAAUUGUGCUGUGUAUCGUAUAGACUAUGGACUAACUAAAACCUCGCCUUUGACUUUGAUCAUAUGAUGAUGAUAGUGGUUUUACGUUCAAGGUUUCUUGAUUUCAGACAAAAGUUUUAUCAUUUGGGUCUAAAUAGCAAUUUUAUAUAAAUUGAGGAUUGAGUAGCAUAUCUUAUUACUAGGUGUUUUGCCCGUACAUGCGGACAUAAUCAUCUUACAAAUACUUAUUAUUUUAUGAUUUAUUAAUUUAAAAAUCGGUAUAAUAAAACUCUAAUUGGUGAACAAUAAAGAAAAAAAAUAUGGUAAAUUCUUUGUUCCUCGAAAUUUAUACCAGUUAUGUUGAAAUUUUAGUUAAAUUAUUGAAAGGUAGAUCUCACUUUUUUCUUCUAAAUUCUCCAUGGAAGAAUGAAUUUAUAAGAAAAACUUUUUUCAACUUUAUACAAGAUCGUUUAAGUAAUAGAGUCAAUGGGUGGACUUUCAAGUUUUUCACAAAAGGUGGAAAGGAAGUGAUCAUUAAAACAGUGAUUACGGCAUUACCAAAUCAUACGAUGUCCUGCUAUCGAUUGCCUAAAGCAACGGUGAAAAAACUGACAAGCGCGGUAUCACAAUUUUGGUGGAGUCCAGGGGGAAGUACAAGAGGCAUACACUGGAAAUCAUGGGACAAGGUAUGUGUAGACAAAGAGGAUGGAGGUCUGGGGUUUAAAGAUAUCACUGAUUUCAACACAGCGAUGCUUGGUAAACAGUUAUGGCGUUUAAUAGAGAAGCCAGACACCUUAUUUUCUCGAGUUUUCAAAGGUCGGUAUUUUAGGAAUGCUUCACCCUUGGAACCGAUUCGUUCAUAUUCUCCGUCAUACGGCUGGCGGAGUAUUAUUUCUGCUAGAUCUCUGGUUAGCAAAGGACUAAUCAAAAGGGUGGGAUCAGGGUCUUCUAUAUCCGUAUGGAAUGACCCUUGGCUCCCAACCACUCGCCCGAGACCAGCUAAUAAAAAUCAACAUAAUUUAUACCCGGACCUUACAGUAGAGUCCCUCAUUGACUCUACCUCGCGUACUUGGAAUUCAGACGCAAUUCGGGCUUUGGUGGACCCUCAGGAUGCGAAACUUAUAGAAAGUAUUCCCCUAAGCAGGACUCAGCGGGUUGAUAGAGAUGGAUGGCACUUUACAAAAAAUGGAAAAUAUACGGUCAAAUCAGGAUAUCAGGUAGAGCGGAUUUAUCCAGAUAGAGAAAGAGUACCAAUACUGAUUGGUCCCACAGUGGAUGUAUUGAAGGCUUUCUGCUGGAAAAUACGGUGUUCGCCAAAGCUAAAACAUUUCCUAUGGCAACUAGUGACAGGGUGUAUAGGAGUGCGGAAGAAUUUACAAGCAAGGGGGAUUCAAGGGGAUAUUUGUUGUGCAAGAUGUGGAGCUCCUGAGGAAUCAAUAAAUCAUGUGUUUUUUGAAUGUCCUCCAGCUCUCCAAGUUUGGGCUCUUUCGAAGAUACCAUCAAAUCCAACUAUUUUCCCAACAAGUUCUCUCUUCACAAACAUGGAUCAUCUAUUCUGGAGAGUUUUACCACAGAUGGAGGAUCACCAGUUUGUAUGGAUACUAUGGUACAUCUGGAAAGCUAGGAAUAAUAAAGUUUUCAGCAAUUUGGAUAUGGACCCUAUGGAUACGCUUAAAUUGGCGGAAACAGAAUCGACAUUGUGGGCUGAGGCACAAGUUGUGAAUGACCAGAGGAUGCCACCACCAAUAAUAGAUAUGAUAUUGCCGUCGAUCCCAGGAAGAUGGUGUUUCACAGAUGGCUCGUGGAAAGAGGGGGUUACUUUUUCAGGGCAAGGUUGGCUUAGUACUUUGGAAGGUUUUAAUGGAUUGUUGGGGGCGAGGAAUGUUCGGGCUAGUCUUUCGCCUCUUCAUGCGGAGAUGGAAGCGCUACUAUGGGCAAUGGAAUGUAUGAGGAAUUUACGUCAAUUUCAGGUCACGUUUGCAACAGAUUGUUCUCAAUUGGUGAAGAUGGUUUCGGAACCAGAAGAAUGGCCAGCUUUUGCAAAUUAUUUGGAUGAUAUCAAGAUCCUGAAAGAGAGUUUCUCCCGAUCAGAGCUUAUCUAUGUACCACGAACGCACAAUUCAAAGGCGGAUAGUCUAGCACGCAGUGCUAGAAAGCAAUCGUCUUUCGUCGUUCACAUGGAUGAAGAUUACCCGGUUUGGUUUACAGAGUCAGUAUGAGUCUGUAUAUUUUAUAUAAAUAAUUUUAAUUUCGGUAAGAUUUUUUUAUCUCUCAGAAUAUUUUUUUAAUUAAUGUAAAUAUUAAAUUUAUAAUUAUAAUUUGAUUUGUCAUUAACAUUUUGAAUGAAUUAUUAAAAUUUCAUAGUUUUCUAAUAACAUAUUUUUAAAUAGUAUAUGAACUAAAUGUUAGUUAUAAACUAUUAUAUUUUUGUAUAUUAAUUUUUUUAAACAAUAUAUUGUUGAGAGUUUCAAAAUAAAAAAUAAAAUAAUAUGUAGUUGUAGUUAUUAAAUUUUAACCUAUGUUUAUAAAUUUAAUUUUCUAAAAAAAUAUAAUAUAUUUUACGAAUUUUAACACAUUUUAAUGAUGAGUGAUAAUUUAUUUAAAUGAAACUAUUUCAAAAAUAAAAUAGAUAAAUUUACCCAUAUUUAAUUCAUAUAGUACUUCUAUUUUACUAUAAUACAUAAUAUAAUUAACAUAUAUAUAAAAAUAGUAUAGAAUUUUAUUUUAUUGUUUUAUAAUAAAUUUUUAAUUAACUUUGAAUUAUAAAGUUAUAUUAGUAUUUACGAAAUUAAUUAAGUAUUAUUUUAUAAAAAUACUUAGAAGGUUGGUAGGAUUUUGUUAGAUUUUUUCUCAACAGAAUUUGAUAUACUUAAAAAUAAAUUUAAAUUUAUAUUUGUUUUAUUAUUAAUGUAAAUAAUGAUAUAUGUCAUAUUAAGUAAUUUUUUAGAUGGUCCUAAAUGACUUGUUACAGUGGAUAAAAAAAAUAAGAUUCUAUUUUAAUUGAUUAGAAACGUCAAUAACUUAUUAGUGUAACGAUUUAAAAACGCCAAAAAAAACAAUUAAAAAAACGCACAUUAGAAUAGAAGGUAGGUUUUAUUAAAUUGAUGGUGGUGAAGUGAAAAAGAAAAGUCACCGAGGGCAAUAGUGGUAAAUAAAGAGAGAUGAGCAGGGGCGUAUUAGUAAAUUACAGAGCAAAGGAGGGGGCACUUCAUCUCCGACGAGUGGCAAGUGGUGAAGGUGUGGGGGAAAGCUAGAAAUCGACAAAAACAAACCGUCUUCUCUCGAUAUGACUCAUCUCUCUGCAUAGUCUUCUUCUCUUAACACAGGAGAAUCUUCUCUCUUCUCUCAUUUCGAAGACGACGAACAAAUCUCCAAGGUCAUUUGCAUUUUGCAUUUCCCCGGAAAACUUAAUUAUUUUUUUUUUUUUUAAAUGUUCUUCAGUCAAUAUUCUAACAUUUUUCAAUUUUUUAUAAAUCCGUUUUUGUUUAUAGGAAGGCGUGAAGAGUAAAAGUAUAACUGUUACCUUCCUCAAUGCAUUAAGUGAGCAUUCCAAUCCAAUCCUCUUUCCUCUUUCUCUCUCUCUUAAUUUAAAACUAUUUUGACUUGAUUCUCGCCGGAGCAGUUUGUUCGCCGGCGCAUUCUCUCGGAGGUUAUACUGUUCAUUGUCUUCCCUCUUUCUCUUUACAUCGUCUUUGGCUUUUCUUUUUUUCUCUUUUGCUUUCGUCAGCUUCAAGUGUUCAAAGAUGAAACCGUUUUUUAUUUUCUUUUUUGAAGAUCUUUGACUGUUCAAAAAGCCUAACGACCUGGAGAAUCUCUUCGAUUCGUAUCUUAUCAACUUUUUUUUCUUCUUUUUUUUUCUUACAGUCUAAGAAGAAUCUGCUCCCUGUUUAGUCAAGCCUCCUCAUGAACUGAGCUGACCUCUGAUCCGACGUCGUACUCGAUCUCAAUCAAAAAUGUCGUCGUCGGAUUAACUCGGAUCCAAUUCUCUGAUUCCCCGUAAUAUUACCUCACUCGAAGGUAACAAUCUCUCAAUAAUCUCAGCUUCUGGAUCUUAAAAACUUUGCUUGGAUAAAACGUCACGUGUUCGAUUCCCCUUGAAAGGAAUCCUUAAUUUUAAUAUGGUUUGGGGUGGUUUUAACAUGUUUCAGGAACUUUCUCGCGGUUAAUUGAUUUUGAGAGUUAAUGUCUCACUCAUGGGAUGGACUCGGGGAGAUAGCGUCAGUAGCUCAGCUCACGGGCCUAGACGCAGUCAAGCUCAUAGGCCUCAUAGUCAAAGCCGCGAACACCGCGUGGAUGCACAAGAAGAACUGCCGCCAGUUCGCUCAGCACCUCAAACUCAUCGGCAACUUGCUCGAGCAGCUCAAGAUCUCCGAGAUGAAGAAGUAUCCAGAGACUCGCGAGCCUCUCGAAGGCCUCGAGGAUGCUCUGAGGAGGUCUUACAUUUUGGUUAACAG